UGCUUCAUAGCUCAAUGGUAGAGCAAUCGGCUGUUAACCGAUUGGUUCCAGGUUCGAGUCCUGGUGAAGCAG
rnacentral:tRNA from 2 species